rnacentral:rRNA from 1 species
AGCGAACGCUGGCGGCAGGCUUAACACAUGCGAGUCGAACGGGCUUCUUCGGAAGUCAGUGGCAGACGGGUGAGUAACACGUGGGAACGUGCCCUUCGGUUCGGAAUAACUCAGGGAAACUUGAGCUAAUACCGGAUACGCCCUUAUGGGGAAAGGUUUACUGCCGAAGGAUCGGCCCGCGUCUGAUUAGCUUGUUGGUGGGGUAACGGCCUACCAAGGCGACGAUCAGUAGCUGGUCUGAGAGGAUGAUCAGCCACACUGGGACUGAGACACGGCCCAGACUCCUACGGGAGGCAGCAGUGGGGAAUAUUGGACAAUGGGCGCAAGCCUGAUCCAGCCAUGCCGCGUGAGUGAUGAAGGCCUUAGGGUUGUAAAGCUCUUUUGUCCGGGACGAUAAUGACGGUACCGGAAGAAUAAGCCCCGGCUAACUUCGUG